rnacentral:rRNA from 1 species
UACGGAGGGCGCAAGCGUUGUUCGGAAUCACUGGGCGUAAAGCGCGUUUAGGCGGCUCUGCAAGUCGGGUGUGAAAUCCCGAGGCUCAACCUCGGAACUGCACUCGAUACUGCUUGGCUCGAGUCCCGGAGAGGGUGGCGGAAUUCCCGGUGUAGGGGUGAAAUCCGUAGAUAUCGGGAGGAACACCAGUGGCGAAGGCGGCCACCUGGACGGUGAUUGACGCUGAGACGCGAAAGCGUGGGGAGCAAACAGG